rnacentral:rRNA from 1 species
UACGUAGGGUGCGAGCAUUGUCCGGAAUUAUUGGGCGUAAAGAGCUCGUAGGCGGUUUGUCGCGUCUGCUGUGAAAACCCGAGGCUCAACCUCGGGCCUGCAGUGGGUACGGGCAGACUAGAGUGCGGUAGGGGAGAUUGGAAUUCCUGGUGUAGCGGUGAAAUGCGCAGAUAUCAGGAGGAACACCGGUGGCGAAGGCGGGUCUCUGGGCCGUAACUGACGCUGAGGAGCGAAAGCGUGGGGAGCGAACAGG